rnacentral:lncRNA from 1 species
CGCCGGGAUGAGCGGCAGCAAAAGAGCCAGUCCCCGGUUGUCGCCUUCCGCUAGAUCGGCGAUCUGUUGGGCAGCCAAAGCAGCGUCUCCGGAGCUCAGUGUUGAGAAGAUUGCUCCGGCGAUGGCAGUACCGGCGAGGGAAGGUUUGGUUAGGAUAGGGAGAGGGAGGGAGAUGGGUUUGGUGGCGGGUUUUGAAGGGAGAAGUGGGGUUUUAUUAAUGGGGGUGAAGCAUUUGGCGUUGAGGAUAGCCAUAGUCGCCAUUGUUGCCGCCAUUGAAGGAGAGUGAAGAAAUUGGUGUGUAGGGAAUAGGAAUUAGGGAUGUGAAGAGCGUUUUUGGGAAAUUUGA